rnacentral:piRNA from 1 species
UCAGCUUAAUGACAACCACAAGCUCAUGUGUC